ensembl:lncRNA
UUUUCUUUGAAGAACCAGGGUUCUUGCUGCCUUAAAACAUGGAUGUUGAACAUAAGGUAGCCUAAUAUUAAAAGUGAUUUCUAGACCUGGAAAAGUAACAAAUAAAUAAAAUCAUAUGGGCAAACUCCUUGCCCAUUUUUAUAAUGAAUAUAAUUUUUUUUAGUUAUGUUUUUUUUUUUUUUUUAUCUUAAUCUUUAUCCAGUCAUUCACAAACAACUGGAAAAAUUAGCCAGUUUAUUAGAAAAUGAUGGAAUAUAAGAAUGUUAGAAAAGAAGACUUUUAGAUCCCACUGUACAUGGUUACCAGUGUCACAAAAUAUCCAAAAUCUUUAUUUUUUCAUUCAUUCUCAAAUGAAGGCCUACAUUCGACAAAGGAAAUGAAGAGCACAUUUAAGAUUACUCGUACAAUACCCUUGAUCACCAAAGCAAAGUGUUUUGAGACUAGAUAAUUCUUUAUUACUUUGUGUGUAAAUCGGCAUCUACCUGGGUAUCCAGCUCGCUGAGCUACCUCGUUAAACAGGUUACUAGCCAGAGCAGCUGUACUUGCGCAGAAAGGUCCAACUCGAUUUAAAAAAGCACUUUUUAGCAUUUGCAAUAAAACUUAUUACCCUUUCAUUUUCACCAUUAUGACAGAGACCAGUUGAGGAAGCCAUUUAACCGUUUUCAGACACGGUCAGAGACAGCCAUUUAGUUCACUAUCCUACAAAUAGUUCAGAACCAUGGAAUAUAUAUAAGUCUAUAUACAUAUUCAUAUACAGGAAUGCCCCACUCUUUUCCAUGGUGCUUUUGUAGUGGGGUCAUUGUUUGCACUGCAUUCCAGUAUUCUAGCUUAGAUUACCCUCAUAAUCGAUAUGUAAUCUCUCAUUUGCACACUAGGCUAGAGCGUUCUCUCUAUGUUUUGAAUAUUACCGAAAAUCGUCUUUUUUUGUCAUAUUUCUGUAAGUGAUUCUGGACCAAAGGUUCAAUGUUAGAGUAUCAGUCUUUAUUUGGGUGAUAUUCACCUCAACGAACAAGAAAAUAUGCAGAUUUGUUUGUUAUCGUUGUUAGCAAAUGUAUUCGGUCGUGAGUGACCUAGAAUUUUUCUCUUUUUUUUAGUUUUUUUGUUUUGAGGGUUGGGAACAGCAGAGAAGGUCUUAAACUGAUCCAGCCUUAGGUAUCCAAACUCACCCUUACUGAUCUAAGAUCAGGCUGCUAUCACAUUCGUCUUAAAGAUUACGAAGAUCAAAUUGGAACUAAUUUAAGGUCAAAGAUCUGGAGUGGUUUUUAACGUCUCGCGCUAGUCGGACUUUCGUGUGAAGUUUGAGAUCGGAGAGUCUUUCACUCACUUAUUCACACAGACACACACCUGAUAUUUGUGCCAAACACAAACCACUGACUUGAAAUAUUGUCCGCCGAUUAAGAAAAGCUACCUUACAGGGGCCAGAGAUGGACUUUGGCUAUGAACUGUCUUCAACGGGUUUUGAAGGAUGCCAUUGUCAAAGCAAUGAUGACAAAGAAGAAACACGAGGAUGAAGACAAUCCAUCUGAACAGUGAGGUACUCGCUCUCUGCGACUAGUUUUCGUCUUCGUCCACAUUUCGAACGAGCCUUGUAAAUAUGUUCCCAUGUGUAAUUCCACCUUCAAGUAUUAUUUUACGUCAUCCAAUGUGAUGCACUCUUUAAAUGCAGUAUUGUUAUGUUUUCAAUUGCGUGAAGAAGGUUGACAAACACUAUAGCGAUGGUACUUUCGGACUCGGUACAGUACAGAGAGGACGAUGAGUAGUUUGGAUGAAGCCAGUGCGAUACCAAGAGGAUCCGGAAACAUCUUGAUGACCUGCUUGGGCUGCCAAUCACUCAUCCUUUGUAUUGAUGGACUGGGGAAAAUCGUGUGGGACAUGUGACCCACUGGACAGUAUUUGCAUUCCCCGUCCCAUCUAAGAACUUGAAGCUCCAUGGAGACCAGAAGAAGGAAUAUAUGAAGGAGUGAACAAAAUAUAGAGUGGCCUUAGGAAAACAUGACUUUUAUAUUCCCUCACUUUAUAAACUGGCUCAAGGCCAGAUGACAGUAUGUGUGUUUUUGUGUGUGCGAUUGAGUGCGAGUGUGAGUAUAUGAAAACCUUUAUGUAAUCCGUUCAUUUACUUCUCUCACGUUCCUGCUUCAAAACUUUUCUUCUGCUGGUAGGAGUGUAUCCUGUAUAAUUGUGUCUUAGAAAAUAAACGUUGACCUUACUGUACUGUUCUUGGUAGCUGAAAAAUGUUUGACAGAUGUACAACAAAAGUUAUUGAUUUUUUUUGUUUUUUUAUUUCCCUUUGAUUUUUUCCAGUAUUUUUUACAAAUGUUACGUAAUUAUUUUUUCACAGUA